GUGUGUGUAGUUACGGCUACGUUAGUUACGUACGAUAAUUAAAGUAUCCCCGAGAUUGCGUAGUGUUUCUUUUCAUUAUGGCGAUCACCUGUUCAGACGUCAGAGACGAUCAGGAGACGUACUUCAAAAUGUUUCAGAGGACCCAGAAAUAGACUCGUCACCAGAUAAUUGCCCUGAAUUCAUACUUCAAUAGAUUGAAGCCCCAGGAGGAAGUUUUUCAGGAUUAUUUGUUUGGCAUUAUUUCUGAUAGGACAGCUUUAGACAUGAAGGGGAAUGGCAUACAGCAAAGGGCCACAGGUCGGAACCAAACCCACGACCGCUGC